rnacentral:misc_RNA from 1 species
UUUCCGUAGGUGAACCUGCGGAAGGAUCAUUGUCGAACCCUGCAUAGCAGAAGAACCCGCGAACACGUUGAAAAACACAUUUGGGGGAUGUGUGCACGGGACAAGGCGACAGCCCCCCGUGCAUGCGGCCCCUUCUUGUGGUGCUGGAGCAAUCGAGCGAAAGCAUGUGAGCUUUGGCCCCCCAAGAAACAAAACCCCGGCCCAAUUCGCGCCAAGGAAAACUUUAAACUCAAGGGCGUUCUCUCCUCACGUUUCCCCCAUUUGCGGGUGCGCGACUGGGUGUUUGCCCGCUCCUUAGUGAAAACACAAACGACUCUCGGUAACGGAUAGCUCGGCUCUC